CAUAGGAGCUGACUGAGUUGGCUUGGCUGUACGUAGGAGGAAGACCCUGAUCCCUGGUGCUCAACACAAAAAUGCUUCAAUGAUCCCCUGAGAUUGUUUUACCUUGCAACACUCUCGGAAAAUUGCUGCUCCAGGAAUGCGAUGAAAAGAUCUGUAAGAGAGCACAGCCCCUGUUGAUUGACUUGUCUUGGUCAAACCAGAGCUUCUGGCUGGGAUACUGGUAUCUUGAGUGAGUCACAGCAGGAGAUACGUUCUGGAGCUGAGGAGGUUGGAGAGGCAGCAGAAAAGGUAGGAGACAGCAAGAGGAGGAGAGCAGCCUACAGAUGAGAAGACAAGUAAUUUACCCUGAAGUUCUGGGACUGCUGUUGGUCAAAGGAUAAAUCCUUCUGAGAGAUUUCGAUUUUAGGUUUUGAUUCUACUUCUGUUUCUAUGAAUGCUAGAGAGA
rnacentral:lncRNA from 1 species